GGAUGACAGUGAAAUCAUCCCUCCCCAAACCCCCAAGCUUCCACCCUCUCUCCUGAUUCCCAAAGGCUAAGAGGAUUUGUUUCCUUUGAAGAUAACUGAGCUCAGGGCACCAAAUGUAUCAACAAAAAUGAGCAGAGAGCAUUCAUUUCUGAAUGACAAUGAGGACAUUUUAUUAAGAGCUGAUUGUGUGCAGGAGGAAGGGCUAGGGGGAACCAGGGUGGGAGGGUAGAACUUUCCGGGGUGGGGGCCCAGGGCCCUAAGAACACUCUGAGGCUUCACUGUCUUCGUCACGGUGCUCCCCUCGUGCGUGACCUCGCAGCUGUAACUGCCUUUCGAUUUCCAGUCGCUGCCCAUCAGGCUCAGGUAGCUGCUGGCCGCGUACUUGCUGUUGCUCUGUUUGGAGGCCCGGGUAGCUGCUGGCCGCGUACUUGCUGUUGCUCUGUUUGGAGGCCCGGGUGGUCUCCACGUUGCGGGUGAUGGUGCUGCCGUCUGCCUUCCAGACCACGGUCACGCUACCCGGGUAGAAGUCGCUGAUGAGACACACCAGGGUGGCCUUGUUGCCGUUGAGCUCCUCCGUGGAGGGCGGGAACAGGGUGACCGAGGGUGGGGACUUGGGCUGACCUGCAAAGUGGGCGAGGGGAAGAAGAUCACUCAAUCAGAGGUCUGGUGCCCGUCAUGGGAGCCCCUGAGUCUGUGUCACAGGGGGACACAGGAUCCUUUGAGAGCCCAGCAGGACCCCGAGUCCAGGCAUCACUGUGAGCCAGAGGGCCUGUGCCAGGGAAGGUGGGUGGGGUUUUCUCAGGCACCUCCCCAUCUUCCUGAGAAAGCCUGAGCCUGGACCCCUGCCAGCGCUGUCCUGAGACCCCCUGGUUCUUGGUUUCCCACACAGACAUCUGACCCUCACUCUCCUUGCCUGCCCGUCUGAUGGUUGACGGGGGUCUGCCUGGGGCUGGCAGUCUGUCCCCUGAGUGGAUGAUGUGGCCUCCCUGGCCUCCUGUGAGUCAGUCCAGGUAUAUUUUGAGCUGACAUGUGUGUUCGAGCCGUUGCCCGAAGGCGUCCGUUGGUCUCCAAGUCUGUGUCCCUUGGAGCCUCUGUGCUGGUCGAGGGGGAGCCUGUCUGCCUGUCCUCGGUCCCCCCAUCCGCAGAUCUGAGCUCAGGUUCCUCUCUGAUUCUUCUUGGGCCUGGAGGUUUCCUACCCUGGUACCUGUCUCUCUGCUUCCUCAGGGACUCCUGCUUCUGAGGAGUGUUGUCUGCAGACUCAGGAGUCCGUGUCCCCUGCAUCCUGACCUCCUAUCUCUUUCCCCAGUUCUGUGUUCAGCACCUUCUCCUCCCCCGUCUUCCCUCUUGCACUUUCCCUGGGUCCCUGGCCAGCCCAGGAUCUGCACGGCAGCCCCAAGGAGGCCUGAUGGAGCCCCUCCACCUCUGCCGAGUCCCUGACCCGGAUCCCUAGACCCAAGGUCCCCAGCCCUUCCUGGCCCUCUGACUCUGGUCCCCAGCCUUGAGGGUUCUGUGUCCCUCUGAUGUCUGCCCACGGUCCCUCAUCUGCAAUCCAGUUCCCUCUUUGCCAUGAGAUGGGGGCUCAAGUGACCGUCAGAGACAAAGCUGGGUGGCAUAGAACCCAGACUGGGGGUUGAUGGGACAGCAGAGAGCGAGGUCCCGGAGCCAGACAGACAAGUCUGUAGGUCAGCCUGCUCAUUCCCCUGCCUCUGGGGUCAGAGGGGAGGCUCUGGUGGGACCUCAGUGCCAAGUAGUACAAGCCUGGGGUGAGGGGACGGGAAGAGGGGAGGGCCCCAGAGGAGAGUUCUGGGUGAAGGCUUGACCACAGGCUGACA
ensembl:lncRNA